AAACUUACCAGGUCAAGACAUGGGCGUGAUUGACAGGCUAAUGACUUUUCUCGAUUCCAUGGAUGGUGGUGCAUGGUCGCACUUAGUUGGUGCAGUGAUUUGUCAGGUUUAUUCCGGUAACGAACGAGACCUCGGCCUUGUAAAUAGCUAUGCUGCUUACAGGGACAUUGGCGGCUACGCCAAGGAAGCUCGAGGCAAUUGCAGAUCUGGAAUGCCCUUAGAUGUCCUGGGUCGCACGCGUGCUACAAUGACGCCACGAACGAGCUUGCGUGAUGAAAGUUACGCAUAAUCAGCAGUCGGCGUCUUAAGGGAUAGUCUCUUGUAACUGUGGGACUCCAACUAGGAAUGUCUCGUAAGCACAAGUCAACAUCUUGUGUUGAUUACGUCCCUGCUCUUUGUACACACCGCCCGUCGCUCCUACCGAUCGAGUGUUUAGGUGAAUUUGAUGGACGUAAGGAAGUCAAAUAAACCUGAGCACUAGAGAAGAGAAGUCGAGAUUU
rnacentral:rRNA from 1 species